CUCCUCGGGAGGCUGCAGUGGGGAAUUUUGGACAAUGGGCGCAAGCCUGAUCCAGCCAUGCCGCGUGCAGGAUGAAGGCCUUCGGGUUGUAAACUGCUUUUGUACGGAACGAAAAGGUUCUUUUUAAUAAAGAGAGCUCAUGACGGUACCGUAAGAAUAAGCACCGGCUAACUACGUGCCAGCAGCCGCGGUAAUACGUAGGGUGCAAGCGUUAAUCGGAAUUACUGGGCGUAAAGCGUGCGCAGGCGGUGAUGUAAGACAGUUGUGAAAUCCCCGGGCUCAACCUGGGAACUGCAAUUGUGACUGCAUCGCUGGAGUGCGGCAGAGGGGGAUGGAAUUCCGCGUGUAGCAGUGAAAUGCGUAGAUAUGCGGAGGAACACCGAUGGCGAAGGCAAUCCCCUGGGCCUGCACUGACGCUCAUGCACGAAAGCGUGGGGAGCAAACAGGAUUAGAUACCCUGGUAGUCCACGCCCUAAACGAUGUCAACUGGUUGUUGGGAAUUCACUUUCUCAGUAACGAAGCUAACGCGUGAAGUGACCGCC
rnacentral:rRNA from 1 species